AUGCACCUCCAUAUCUGCGGUGAAAGAUGACAGAGCUAGAGCGAUGUUUGUCAGACCAUAAGACAUCCCGAAAUUGGUCUUCUCACAAAAUCAUCUGUAGAGUCCGAACGGUUUGGCCUUCAAACUAUUAUUAUUGCUCUACGAUCGAACACAAGCAUCUUGGGACUCGUCUGAAGUUGGUACAGCAGAUCUGCCAACUUCUGUAUGUAGCGUCCGAACAGUUUUGGCUACAAACAAACACCCCUUUGUGGAAAGGUGAGACUCUCACAAACACGUACAUGUCAGUUGUUUUGCUCUAGGAUGCCCACAGGGCUCACAAGACUCGUCUGAAUGUCCCCCGGUACCAGUUGAAAAAUGAAUGGAGGUAUACUGUAUAUGGAGACUGCUUAGUGACACAAAUAAGGGGUUAAAUACAUGUAAAAAUAGGACAGACACUUCAGACAAACUUCCUUUAGAUUUUGUGGGGGACUAUCUGUUGUUCCAUGUUUGUAUGGGCUAAUAGCAGUAAGGACCCAACAUUUUUUUAAGAAAAUUAUUUUGGUUUUGGGAAUGAUCUUAGGACCUCCAGGAAAAUCACUGUUUUCAUUCACAUUAUUACCCCCUGUCAAUGCAUGAAAAAAAUCUAAUUGAUAUGUAAAAGCCUUGACAUGAUUUCCCCUGUGUUUUAUAUAUUUCCACAGUAUCAGGUUGAAAUAAUACUGUGAAAUUGUGAAAAUUAUGAUAAUGCCCUUUUAAUGUAAGAGCUGUUUGAAAUGACCACCUGCAAUUUCUGUCUGUUUUGGUGGAAUGGAGUUUUGGCCUGCCUGGUGAUGACAUCAGUGAAUAGCGAACAGGCACCAAACAAAACGAAACUGACAGAAACUGUCACGCCCUGGUCGAAGUAUUUUGUGUUUAUCUUCAUGUAUUGGGUCAGGCCAGGGUGUGGCAUGGGGUUUUUGUAUUGUGGUGUGUUUUGUCUUGGGGUUCUGUCACGCCCUGGUCGAAGUAUUUUGUGUUUAUCUUCAUGUAUUGGGUCAGGCCAGGGUGUGGCAUGGGGUUUUUGUAUUGUGGUGUGUUUUGUCUUGGGGUUUUGGUGUGUAUGUAUUGGGAUUGUAGCUAGUGGGGUGAUCUAGCAAAGUCUAUGGCUGUCUGGAGUGGUUCUCAAUCAGAGGCAGGUGUUUAUCGUUGUCUCUGAUUGGGAACCAUAUUUAGGCAGCCAUAUUCUUUGAGUUUGUCGUGGGUGAUUGUCCUUAGUGUCGUUGUUCCUGUGUUAGAUUACACUAGUAUAGGCUGUUUCGGUUUUCGUUACGUUCUUUGUUUUGUAGUGUUUAUAAUUGAUUCGUGUUUUACGUUUGUUCAACAUGGAUCGCAAUCUACACGCUGCAUUUUGGUCCGACUCUCCUUCACAUACAGAGAACCGUGACAGAAACAGGGAGGGACUACCUGAACAUGUCCAAUAAGAAAUGCUAAUUUUUGUUUCCCGUUGUAUAAUGUUUUGCUAUAGUGUGCCCUAAUGAAUAGGACCAGUAUUGGCAUGAUGAUAGAUAAAAUAAAUGUUAAAGGCACAGUGCUGUAAAAUGAGAUUUUAUUAAAUAUUUCCUCAGUAUGAGGUUGAAAUAAUACUGUCAAAUUGAAAUUGUUUUAGUCUAAGAGCUAUUUGAAAAGCCUAAAACCUUUAGCCUGUUUUGUGGGGUGGAGUUUUGGCCUGCCUGGUGACAUCAUCAGCAGACCAAUAAGAAAGAGUUCCAAACCUCUCUGCCAAUAAGAGCUAGUUUUCAGUUUCCUCCUCCCCACUCAGACCACUCCCAGUCUUAACAAAAAUUCUUGCUUGAGAAAUUACUCUUUGCUAAGAAGCUAUUUUGUUUAUUUGUGACAAUUUUAAAUGAAAGCAAUCACAGUAAGGUACUUAAUUGUUACCCCAACAUUUUAUUGAGAUAAAAAUAGCUGCAUUGGACCUUUAACUUAUUUUAAAGCUGUGUCUACAUUGUAUGUAAUAUACACUGAGUGUACCAAACAUUAAGAACCCCCCCCCCCUUCAUAACAGCCUCCAUUUGUCAGGGGGAUGGACUCUACAAGGGGCCGAAAGUAUUCCACAGUUGUGUCAAGUUGGCUGGAUGUCCAUUGGGUGGGGGACAAAUCUUGAUACACACGGGAAGCUGUUGAGUGUGAAAAACCCAGCAUACCCCGUUCAAAUACACUGUUUUGUCUUGCCCAUUCACCCACAGAAUGGCACACACACACAACCCAUUUCUCAAUUGUCCUCAGAAUGGCACACAUACACAACCCAUUUCUCAAUUGUCCUCAGAAUGUCACACAAACACAACCCAUUUCUCAAUUGUGUCAAGGGUUAAUAAUCCUUCUUUAACCUGUGUCCUCCCCUUCAUCUGCACGGAUUGAAGUGGAUUUAACAAGUGACAUCAAUAAGGGAUCCUAGCCUUCACCUGAAUUAACCUGGUCAGGGGCGACAGGUAGCCUAGUGGUUAGAGCAUUGGGCCAGUAACCGAAAGGUUGCUAGAUUGAAUCCCCAAGCUGACAAGGUAAAAAUCUGUUAUUAUGCCCCUGAACUGUUCCUAGGCCGUCAUUGUAAAUAAGAAUUUGUUCUUACUGACUUUCCUAGUUAAAUAAAAGGUUAAAUUAUUAUUAACAUUAUUUUUUUUUUAUUAAUGGAAAGAGCAGGUGUUCCUAAUGAUUUCUAAACUCAAUGUAUCUAUGAGCAUGAACAACUACAGCAUACGUCUACAUACAAUACAUGUACAAUACAGGUAUAAUACAUGUACAAAACAUGUACAGUACAUGUACAAAACAUGUACAGUACAUGUACAAAACAUG
rnacentral:lncRNA from 13 species